GGAUCGGGGAAUUUGAUUAUUUGCCACCACUUUCUUUGCUCUUUUAUAAUUUGCCAUCCCUUACCUUGUAAUUGAUCUAAUGACACCAGUUACAUGAAACUUUGUUAUUUUGCCCUCUGUCGACUGGGUCCCACAAGAAAAGUCGAAAAUACCCCUCUCCCAGGAUUGACCACGAACGAACUGGAGAUCUCGUUAUGGUUCGCUCGCCCUUGUUCCCUUUCUCUCGCCCGCAAGACGGUGGCAACGGCGACUUACGCGGGGUGGCUCAACGACGGCGGACCUGGUGGUCCUCAACGGCGGCUGGAUCCCGGCUAGGAAGCACCUGCGCACGCGUCCAUCUCCUCACAGCCACCAAAAGGGCCUCGAGUCGAUGCCGCCAUGACUUCACUGCUGAUGUUGUUCAUUACCGCCCUCGCUACUGCAUGUUCACUGGUGUUAGGGACACGAAGUCGCUGGCGCACCUCUCUAGCAUGCCGCGAGCUCCGCCAGCACGCAGGUGAGGCCGAGCUGCGGUUGCUUGCGCAGGGCCUGGGCGGCGAGCUGCGGCGGCUCACGCAGGCAUCAGCGAGCCGAGGACGAGCUGUCCCCGCUCGUGCAGACUUGGACGAGCACCGGCGGCGAGUUACGAGAGCGCAGGCAUAAGCGAGGCGACGGCGAGCUCCGCCGGUGCAAGCAAGCAUGGGCUAGCAACGGCGGGCGGCGGCGAGCUGCGGUUGCUGGCGCAGGCGUGGGGGAGCUACUAUUGCCUUAUGGUGGAUGAGAUAUGGAGAUAUGAUGUAUGGACAUGUUAAAUGCUUUAUUUUGCUAUGUCCUCUUCAUAUUGUGUCAUGGUAUAUGAAUAUAUGCAUCUGGAAAUAUAUGUUUGAAUUUGGAUA